GCCACCUUAGCUCAGUUGGCAGAGCGGCUCACUCGUAAUGAGCAGGUCGCCGGUUCGAGCCCGGCAGGUGGCUCCA
rnacentral:tRNA from 1 species